rnacentral:rRNA from 1 species
GACGAACGCUGGCGGCGUGCCUAAUACAUGCAAGUUGAGCGCUGAAGGUUGGUACUUGUACCAACUGGAUGAGCAGCGAACGGGUGAGUAACGCGUGGGGAAUCUGCCUUUGAGCGGGGGACAACAUUUGGAAACGAACGCUAAUACCGCAUAAAAACUUUAAACACAAGUUUUAAGUUUGAAAGAUGCAAUUGCAUCACUCAAAGAUGAUCCCGCGUUGUAUUAGCUAGUUGGUGAGGUAAAGGCUCACCAAGGCGAUGAUACAUAGCCGACCUGAGAGGGUGAUCGGCCACAUUGGGACUGAGACACGGCCCAAACGCCUACGGGAGGCAGCAGUAGGGAAUCUUCGGCAAUGGACGAAAGUCUGACCGAGCAACGCCGCGUGAGUGAAGAAGGGUUUCGGAUCGUAAAACUCUGUUGGUAGAGAAGAACGUUGGUGAGAGUGGAAAGCUCAUCAAGUGACGGUAACUACCCAGAAAGGGACGGCUAACUACGUG